rnacentral:rRNA from 1 species
UACAGAGACCUCAAGCGUUAUCCGGAUUUAUUGGGCGUAAAGCGUGUGUAGGCGGUUCGAAUAGUCAGAUGUUAAAUUCCAGUGCUCAACAUUGGAGCCGCAUCUGAAACGUUUGAACUAGAGGCAAGUAGAGGUUCAUGGAACAUAUGGUGUAGCAGUGAAAUGCGUUGAUAUCAUAUGGAACGCCAAAGGCGAAGGCAGUGAACUGGGCUUGAUCUGACGCUGAGACACUAAAGCGUGGGUAGCGAAUGGG